GAGGGGAUUUCCCUCAAACCCUAAAAUUCACAAAAAUCCAUCAAUUGAAGGUGCAAAUCAAGUCCGAAUUGAAAUCUGAAUAUAGGGUUGUGAUCAUCUUGACUAAGAGAUUGUAAGAGGUGAUAUGUGGGCAACACGAGUGAGGCGUCGGGAAGUCAAGCCGGUGCGGACGCUCGCCAAAAGGGAAAGCUCUAAGAUUUCAAGUAAGUUAAUCAAGCGGAUGGUGAUCAACUCAAGACCAUGA
rnacentral:lncRNA from 1 species